UUAAUACCGGAUAGAUCAAAGAAACUGGAAUGUUCUCUGGUCUAAAACUACGGUGCCCAAGGAUGGGUCUGCGGCCUAUCAGGUAGUAGUGGGUGUAACGCACCUACCAGCCUACGACGGGUAAGGGUUGUGAGAGCAAGAGCCCUGAGAUGGAUUCUGAGACAUGAAUCCAGGCCCUACGGGGUGCAGCAGGCGCGAAAACUUUACAAUGCGGGAAACCGCGAUAAGGGGACCCCGAGUGCCAGCACCUAGUGCUGGCUGUCCAGCUGUCCAAAUAACAGUUGUUAGCAAGGGCCGGGCAAGACCGGUGCCAGCCGCCGCGGUAACACCGGCGGCCCGAGUGGUAGCCGUUAUUAUUGGGUUUAAAGGGUCCGUAGCCGGACUAUUAAGUCUCUUGAGAAAUCUGGCGACUCAAUCGUCAGGCGUUCA
rnacentral:rRNA from 1 species